rnacentral:tRNA from 1 species
GGCCGAGUAGGUGUAGUUGGUUAUCACGUUUCGUUCACCGGAAAGGUCCUGAGUCGAGUCUCAGCUUGUCAUCA